rnacentral:rRNA from 1 species
UUCCGGUUGAUCCUGCCGGACCUGACUGCUAUCGGAUUGAUACUAAGCCAUGCGAGUCUUUGCAGUAAUGCAAGGCAUACGGCUCAGUAACACGUGGGUAACCUGCCCUAUGCUGGGGGAUAACCUCGGGAAACUGAGAAUAAUACCCCAUAGUUCACCACGCCUGGAACGGUGGGUGGACCAAAGCUCCGGCGGCAUAGGAUGGGCCUGCGGCGUAUCAGGUUGUAGGGGGUGUAAUGUACCCUCUAGCCCUCUACGCGUACGGGUGUUGAGAGACAUCGCCCGGAGAUGGAUUCUGAGACACGAAUCCAGACCCUACGGGGUGCAGCAGGCGCGAAAACUUGGCAAUGCGAGAAAUCGUGACCAGGGAACUCCAAGUGCAUCGGGUAAGACCGAUGCUUUUCUUGACUCUUCAAAGGUCUUGGAAUAAGGGGUGGGUAAGGACGGUGCCAGCCGCCGCGGUAAUACCGGCGCCCCAAGUGGUAGUCGCUUUUAUUGGGCCUAAAACGUCCGUAGCCGGUCUGGUACAUUCGUGGGUAAAUCAACCAGCUCAACUGGUUGAAUUCUGCGAGCACGGCCAGACUUGGGACCGGGAGAGGUGUGGGGUACUCUCAGGGUAGGGGUAAAAUCCUGUCAUCCUGAGAGGACCACCUGUUGCGAAGGCGCCACACUAGAACGGAUCCGACGGUCAGGGACGAAGCCUAGGGGCACGAACCGGAUUAGAUACCCGGGUAGUCCUAGGUGUAAACGCUGUGGACUUGAUGUUGGGGGCGCUCCGAGCGCACUCAGUGUCGAAGCGAAGGUGAUAAGUCCACUGCCUGGGGAGUACGGUCGCAAGGCUGAAACUUAAAGGAAUUGGCGGGGGAGCACCGCAACCUGAGGAUUGUGCGGUUUAAUUGGAUUCAACGCCGGA